AAUGCGGGAUUCUGGGUGCGGGACUGUAGAUGCAGGCUCCGAGUCUGCAGCUUCAUACUACUCGACCUGCUGGCACAGUCUUCUGUGUUUAUGCAAGUGUCUUAACAGGAUGAUUCAGUGCAUUUAACACUAGAUCAGAUGCAAACUGUGACCUUUCAGCUGUCAGAGCCUGUAUCUGAGCAGGGACCCUGUGUUACUGAUGUGAAGGAAACCCCGCCGUUCAGCGUGUAACCAGUCUUCUGCAAUGCGCAGACACAUACUACAACAAGAACCGAUUGUCUGGAAGAGCUCGACUAACCUUGUCUCACCCUCCUGUCAAAGCAGAUCAGCUAAUGCAGGUCAUCUAGUUUCCACCUGGAGAAGGGAAACAUAGGAUCUUCUUAUCUUCCUAUGAAUGAGUGAACACACUUCAAGAUAAAUUCAUCCAAUGGCCUACUGGGCAGAAGGCUCUACAACACCUGCUUCCUUUCUCCAGCUGGCUGAGUCGCUCGCAGUGAGGGCCUGGAAGAGAGGUCUUCCUCAAGUGUUUGGGGUGUUGGGUGACACGCUCAGCCCCAUCCGCCUAACCACUGGCAAACAGGAUUGUGAAAGGCGCGCUCCUGAAGCAAAGAGACUUAAGGACGAGUCAUAUCCAGAUUCAUAGCUGAACUUGGACCUGGUUUGCAAUGGUGAGGGCCGGUUCAUUUAUUGCCACAUCAGCUGAGGCUCGUAAAGAAACAGAGGAAGUGCAUUAGUUGAAAGACUCCAGCAACAUCCUGAGAUGUUGCCUCCAGGGACUUGCCUGAUAGCCAGAGUUGGAUACCUACUCACAGGGCAAUUGCUCACUCCAUUUUCUCCGGGUCGAAACCCUCAGGAAAACCUCAACAACAGAUCAGUGGUGACUCAUUUAGGCUGAUUUAACCAGGCCGUGGCAGACCUAAAAGAGCAAUUUCGGACAUUGAGAUAUUUGGAUAUGGGGAACUACAAUAGGGCGAGAGCUGUGGUUCUGACUGCUUGUAUAUUAAUUAAUGUCUUUCUGGACAUGGGGGAUAUCACAAAGGAAAUAUCACAAAAGAAAAUGAGGAGGUAAAAGAUGAUGCAGCUGGUGAGACGAUGAGGGACACUGUAGUGAAUCUGCUUAACAGCGCAUUGGAAGCAGAAACACAUUAAGCAUUUGACACUGUUUAUAAAACUCUUGAUGUAGGUUUUGCUCUCGAUUUCAAGCUUUAAUAUAACAAAAGCAUUGUAUGGCUAAAAUUUAAAGGAUAGUUCACACAAAAAUGAAAAAUCUCAUAAUUGACUCGAUGUGUAUGAUUUCCUUCUGCUGAACACAAACAAAUAUAUAUCUUAGCUCAAUGCAAGUGAAUGGUGGCCAGAACUCCAAAAAGCACAAAGGCAGCAUAAAAGAAACAAAAGAUCCAGUGGUUUAAUCAAUGUCAUCUGAAGCAAUAUGAUAAGUGUUGGUGAGACAAAGAUCAAUAUCCAAGUUAUUUUGUUUUACUAUAAAUCUCCUCUCUUUCUCAUUCUUUUGUUUUUGGUCAUUUGCAUGUGAAGAAUUUAAAUAGCCACCUACUGGCAGAAAGGAGAAGUUAUAGUUAAAAAAAGGACUUUAAAGUGUAUCUGUUUCUCACCCAUAUGUUGCUACAAUUAUGUAUCACUUCUAAAUACAUAAUUACACAGCUGGAGUCGUAUGGAUGACUUUUUAUACUGCCUAUAUGUGCUUUUUGGACCUUAACAUUUCUGGCCACCAUUCACUUGCGUUGUAUGGGCCUACAUAGUUUAGAAAUUCUUCUAAAAAUC